UACGGGGGGGGUAAGCGUUGUUCGGAAUUACUGGGCGUAAAGAGCUCGUAGGCGGUUUGUCGCGUCGAAUGUGAAAACCCGGGGCUCAACCCCGGGCCUGCAUUCGAUACGGGCAGACUAGAGUUCGGUAGGGGAGUCUGGAAUUCCUGGUGUAGCGGUGAAAUGCGCAGAUAUCAGGAGGAACACCGGUGGCGAAGGCGGGACUCUGGGCCGAUACUGACGCUGAGGAGCGAAAGCGUGGGGAGCAAACAGG
rnacentral:rRNA from 1 species